CAGAGGGCGCCUCACUCAAUCCCCUUUCUCCUCAUCUCGAUCCACACCCCUCUCUCUCUGUCUCGCACGCCGCCGUCGAUGCUAGGGUUCUGAUUCACGCCGCCGCUGCCGCCUACAGCCAUAGCAGGAGCCGUCCUUGCCUCCUCAUUGAUCCACAGCCGAAGUCGUCGCUCCUUCCACCACCAGCCACCUGACUCGCAAGCGUGCGGCCCUCCUUCCACCGGUCGCCUACUCAGUCCACCUCGCCCGCUCCAUCCCAUGGCGCCACUACCCCAACCCAUGGCCAGCUCCCUCUUCCCUCCUUUCCAUGGCAGCAGAUCUGAAGAGGGGGGGGGGGGGGGGGGGGCAAGGGCUCUUCGCUCCCGGUGGCCUGAAGCGAGGCGUGCAGCCUCUGCUCCCUCAGUAUCUGGCGAACUAUAUGGUCUCCCUCCUCUCCAACCCAUCAGGAGGAAGAAAUGGGCAAGCGAGACCAGCAGGGGAAAGAAUAGGGUGCAGCCUCACACGCUGGCUUGUUGCUUGCACCUGAAAAAGACAGAGACCAGCCGCCGAUGGACACCAUCUGGUGUUGGUUACAACAGGCUCCGAGUUGCGUCCAAGGUGGGCUGAGGUGAUAACUGAAUAAUCUUCUGCUGCAAAGCAGAUUCCGUAUUCACUUAUAUUUUGCAUGGGCCGAAGGAUACUUCUUUUUAUGCUGCAAUACUGCUUACAAAUGUAUAUUCGGUGAAAGGAAGCGGAAAAUUUAAAUGUUGCAAUAUAACACUGAGCAAUUAAUUUUGUUUCUUCUGCUUUGUUGAUCUAUAGUGCUUUAGCGUUACUAAUGACCUCGAGUUAUCCUAUGCAUGCAGUAUUUUUGUACUAGGUUGAACCAGAUGGUCUCUUCCAAUGGAAAUCGCAGGGUGGCCGUUCUUACGAUAAAGAAAAUGAGUGUGUCACAAAAUGACAUUCACUGAUGCAAAUGUAUUUUCCCGAGCAUAGGAUCAACUAGUGCGGCUUCUUGCUUGAUUCAACUGGAUCUAAUGGCGGCGCAGCAGGUGGAGUCGGGAGGCAUGACAGAGGACAUGUGGAUGUUAUCGUGGCAUUGACACAUUUCGCUCCACUGACACUUCAUACCAACGUGAAUGAAUGCUAUCGUGGCCUUAGGCCUGCCAAAUUCUUGCUUUACUUUUUUGUUUUGUAUAUGUAUAUUUCAGUUCCGACGUGCUUUUUCUCAUGUCGAGUUGAAACCACAUUUGGAUGGUCCAGUAGAAAAUAAUCGUAUGUUUCACUCUGAAAUCAUAUUGCAUAUAGAGUGAUGUUCUGUUCUUGAACAAAUUAUUACACACAUAUACAUGAAAAAGUCUCACACUAAGGCUCAUGCAUUCUACUUUUUCCUCCUUUAUCCUCCUUUAUGGCAAGAUGUUGUUAGAGAUGUUUGUUGUUACUCAUUCGGUUGUGGUAUAGAAUGAUGGCUUUUAUAGUCUGUUUACAGUGUCAUCUAUUCAGAAUCAUGCAAAUUUUGGCCUCUACAACAGACUUUGUUUGCUUGCUUCUCUAUUUUCUGUUUCUUUCUGUUUGGAUUAGCAAGUUUCGCUGCACAUCUGUAUAUGCCAUCGGAAUACAUUAUUACAAAAAUGACAGUCUGAAGCUAAAAGAAAAUACAUGACAAAAGAAAAGUAAAUAACUUGAGUAGUAAGGGCUUGCAUUAUAAAUAUGUUUACUUACCAUUUCAGUUAUUUUAUGCACUCAGGUGAAGAUGCUGCAGACUAUGAAGUUUUCAGAGCUCAAACAUAAAACAGUGCAUAUUUUUGCAAAAAACAAUUGCUUUGUUUUUCCCCAACCAUCUUGAUACAAAUUUGGGAUCACCUAAAACUUACAAAAGGCAUGCUUCCUGAUUUGUUCCAAUGAUACAAAAUCAUAAAUUGUUUUUAUCAUUGUUGAAUGUAGGCAGCUAUACUGUUGCAACAUUCAAGAGGAAAGUAUGCACUCAUUUUCUGUUCUACAAGACAAGGUGCACAAGAAGCAGCACAGUACCUCUCAAGAACUGCAGUCUCUUGGCUAUUGAACAAAUUCAUUCAUGAAACCGAUGCAGCAGUACGAAAAUCUAUGAGAAGCUACCUUAACCUGUAGUUGUUGUUCAUUGCUUCAUACCAUCUAUGAAGCAAACAAAAGGACUUCACUCCCAUGGAACCAUGAAGCCAUUGAUCUACGUCAACUAGAUGUUUUAGAUUUCAUUUUGUACAACUGAUGUCUCAUGCAUGCAUCUUUUACAUGUACUUUUGUGAACCUGAUGUAUUCUCAUUUUGUACAACUUAUGUCUCAUACAUGCAUCUUUUACCUAUCCUUCUGUGAACACGAUGUACGGUAUCUGAGUAGUUAUGUUUAUAACAGACUUAAGUGUGUGUAUGUGAAAAAUAGUUAAUGGAAUAAAAAAUGUUUGGUGGACCUGAA